CUGCUCACUUUGAUAGCACAUACACUAAAAUUGGAGAAGAUUAGCAUAGCUGCUGCACAAGGAUGACACACAAAUUCGUGAUGAGUUCCGUAUUAAA
rnacentral:snRNA from 1 species